UACGUAGGUGACCAGCGUUGUCCGGAAUUACUGGGCGUAAAGCGUGCGCAGGCGGUGAUGUAAGACCGAUGUGAAAUCCCCGGGCUCAACCUGGGAAUGGCAUUGGUGACUGUACGGCUAGAGUGUGUCAGAGGGGGGGUAGAAUUCCACGUGUAGCAGUGAAAUGCGUAGAGAUGUGGAGGAAUACCGAUGGCGAAGGCAGCCCCCUGGGAUAACACUGACGCUCAUGCACGAAAGCGUGGGGAGCAAACAGG
rnacentral:rRNA from 1 species